AUCCAACUGACGAGUCCCAAAUAGGAUGAAACGCGUGUCCUGGAU
rnacentral:hammerhead_ribozyme from 1 species